GCAGAAUUGUUUUUACUAAUCUGCUUAUUACCCACUCUGUAGUGUGGAAACAAAUUAUUCAUGCACAAGGUCCUCUUACUGUUCCUAGAAUGCAGUGGAAAGAGAACAGAUUAGUUUUCCUCCCUCAGAACACAAUCCCUAGAAACAACCUACCUCAGAUGAGAUAUUGCCUAAUUAUUUUCAAAAGACAGUGAAACAUCAUGGAUGUAAAUGUUUGCUGCAAAAUAAAUACAUGCUAGAAACAGAAGCAUCUGGGUCACAGCUAUAUUAGAGCUACCUGUGUUCCCCUGUCACUGACAUUAAAACAAAAAUGUCCAAUACAAUCAUUCACAGCGUGGGAGAGGGGAAGUUGAAGGAUGGAAAGGCCAGGCAUAAAAGGAUUUCAGAAUUUCCGUCCAUAAGGAAGUAGCUUUGUGCACUGUCUGUUACUGUGUGCAAGGUGAAAUUUGAAGAAUGAAAACGUGCAGUAACAAGGGCUCCUUUGUCCAACUCACCUCUCCAGAUACCAAGUUUCAGACAUGUUGCAUUUUAAUUGAAAGGUUGAUAUAAUUUUUUUUAAAGAACACUUGCGGUGUUUGAAGUGACAAAGGCUGCUGUGACAAAAAAGCAGGGAAAGGGAAUUUUUUUUUAAAAGCAAACAACAACAACAAAAACCCCACAGAAAAGCAAACAACAAACAAACAAAAAACAGAGGAAGAAGUCGAACACCCUGGGCUGUGACUACUUCCAGGAAGGGGCUACAAGAGGCAGUUGGAAAUUCUAUUUGUUUUGCAACUGUGGGUUUUCCGGCCCGCUUCCUUUCUAAAGUAUAUUACUCUGCUUUUGGUUCAUGAAGUUAUCCAUUUCUGUUUUCUGGAACAGCUAUGUAUUUUCUUUAUCUAUCAUCUAUCUAUCUAUUUACCAUCUAUCUUUUCUACCUUUCGCUAUCAAGAGCUUGGGUCAAGCAGGAUAGAAUUCCAGUGUAUGUUCACUCUACCAUUUAAAACAAGAGCUCUUGUAGGCAUUCUCCAUCACAUCAUAAACCUGAGCUUUCUAAAACAGGGUGUGGCAAACUACCAUGCAUGGACCAUGUCUGACACAGUCUGCGUUUGUAAGUAAAGUUGUAAUGGGACACAGCCAAUACAUGUGUUACAUAAUGUCUCUGGCUAUUUUCAUGGUAUAAUGGAAGAGCUGAGUCAUUGAGAGAGAGACCAUAUGGC
rnacentral:lncRNA from 10 species